rnacentral:rRNA from 1 species
AAUUUUGGACAAUGGGGGAUACCCUGAUCCAGCCAUCUCGCGUGUAUGAUGAAGGCCUUCGGGUUGUAAAGUACUCUUGGCAGCGAUGAAAAGGUAUCCCCUAAUGCGGGACGCGGCUGACGGUAUCUUCAGAAUAAGCUCCGGCUAACGACGUGCCAGCAGCCGCGGUAAUACGUAGGGUGCAAGCGUUAAUCGGAAUUACUGGGCGUAAUGCGUGUGUAGGCGGUUCGGAAAGAAAGAUGUGAAAUCCCAGGGAUCAACCUUGGAACUGCAUUUUAAACUGCCGAGCUAGAGUAUGUCAGAGGGGGGUAGAAUUCCACGUGUAGCAGUGAAAUGCGUAGAUAUGUGGAGGAAUACCGAUGGCGAAGGCAGCCCCCUGGGAUAAUACUGACGCUCAGACACGAAAGCGUGGGGAGCAAACAGG